rnacentral:rRNA from 1 species
CCUACGGGAGGCAGCAGUAGGGAAUGUUCGUCAAUGGGCGCAAGCCUGAACGAGCGAUGCCGCGUGAGUGAAGAAGGCCUUCGGGUCGUAAAGCUCUGUUGCGGGGGAAAAAAGGCAGCAUCAGGAAAUGGGUGCUGACUGAUGGUGCCCCGCCAGAAAGUCACGGCUAACUACGUGCCAGCAGCCGCGGUAAUACGUAGGUGGCGAGCGUUAUCCGGAAUGAUUGGGCGUAAAGGGUGCGCAGGCGGUCCUGCAAGUCUGGAGUGAAACGCAUGAGCUCAACUCAUGCAUGGCUUUGGAAACUGGAGGACUGGAGAGCAGGAGAGGGCGGUGGAACUCCAUGUGUAGCGGUGAAAUGCGUAGAUAUAUGGAAGAACACCAGUGGCGAAGGCGGCCGCCUGGCCUGUUGCUGACGCUGAGGCACGAAAGCGUGGGGAGCAAAUAGGAUUAGAUACCCUAGUAGUC